rnacentral:lncRNA from 1 species
CUGACAAGUAAUGUAGUGGACUUCUUAUACUUCCUCUGUUUUGAAAAUGAGCCCAUACCAUGCAUACCAAUUUAGGAAUCUGCUUUGCCGGUCCCAUCUAGAUGUUCACAAUUGAUGAUAUGGUAAUAUAAUUAAAAUUAAUUAUAAAAAGACAAAUUAUAUGAUUGUUGUUAUACAUUGAAAGACUUAUAAACUAAGGGCCUCCUAACAAUGCCUCGCCGAACUCCCGAAAUCUCAAAGCCGGCCCAGAUCAUCGUUGUAAUGACCGAGUAGAGGAUGUCAUCCAAGCUUGUCUAAUUGCAAAUUUCUUGUUCAGAUUGGCAUGCUGUCUCAAAUUGAGGGAGAGAGGCUGCAAUGGGAGACUGUCGGUUGUUGUUUGGUGUCAGACACCAAUGGGGAUGAGCUGAUGGAUGGGUCAGAUGGAAGUUGGUGUGGCUGGAUUGGGGUGGUGUAUCUGUGUGGCCAGAGUGAGGAGGGGAGGAGCUGACGUAUCGACGGUGAAGGGAUGAGAUUGAAAACAGUGGUAUCAGAGGUGGAGUGUGGAUGGGCUAGGGGUAUUUGGGUGAGGUCAGAGUGGGGAAGAUAGUGGCUUGCGGCGGGAAAGAUGAUGGCUUUGUGGUUGAGUGCUUUCACGGAGGCCAAAUCCUCUACACUCAAACUCUUACUGAGGCUAUAGAGAGGCCACUAAUAUUUUGGUCGUAGAAGAUUUGAUCUCGUUUUUACCAAGCUUUUCUUCUUCUUCUUCUUCUU